UUACGGUCAAAUCAUUGCUGAAAACACCGGUUCUCGUUCGAUCACCGAAGUUAAGCAUCGUAGAGCCAGGUCAGUACUUAGAUGGGGGACCGCUUAAACACCUGGU
rnacentral:rRNA from 1 species